rnacentral:rRNA from 1 species
UACAGAGGGUGCGAGCGUUAAUCGGAAUUACUGGGCGUAAAGCGCGCGCAGGCGGCUUUGCAAGUCGGGUGUGAAAUCCCCAGGCUUAACCUGGGAACUGCAUUCGAGACUGCAUUGCUAGAGUAUGGGAGAGGGAAGUGGAAUUUCCGGUGUAGCGGUGAAAUGCGUAGAUAUCGGAAGGAACAUCAGUGGCGAAAGCGACUUCCUGGACCAAUACUGACGCUCAUGUGCGAAAGCGUGGGGAGCAAACAGG